rnacentral:misc_RNA from 1 species
ACGGACGAUGGCGACUACAACAUCAAAAUGCGCAAAAUCCGCGAAUUUUUAGAAGAUGGCGACAAAGUGAAAAUCACUUUACGCUUUCGUGGACGCGAAAUGGCGCACCAAGAAUUGGGCGCGCGCCUGUUGGAACGCAUCAAAGACGAAUUGGCAGAAGAGGGGCAAGUGGAACAAUUCCCCAAAAUGGAAGGUCGCCAAAUGGUCAUGAUGGUUGCGCCAAAGAAAAAAUAAAGCUAUAAUCUUGCGCUUUCCUGAUUCAACGCUGCGUCAGGAAAGUGUUUUAUUGAGCAGCGAAAAAGCGUGGUUUCGG